CCUACGGGAGGCAGCAGUGAGGAAUAUUGGUCAAUGGGCGCGAGCCUGAACCAGCCAAGUCGCGUGCGUUAAUACUUUCCUCUGUUUUUUAAACCUCUUUUGUCGGGGAGCAAAAGACGCCACGCGUGGCGUUCCGAGAGUACCCGAAGAAAAAGCAUCGGCUAACUCCGUGCCAGCAGCCGCGGUAAUACGGAGGAUGCGAGCGUUAUCCGGAUUUAUUGGGUUUAAGGGGUGCGCAGGCGGAAGAUCAAGUCAGCGGUAAAAUUGAGAGGCUCAACCUCUGCGAGCCGUUGAAACUGGUUUUCUUGAGUGAGUGAGAGGUAUGCGGAAGGCGUGGUGUAGCGGUGAAAUGCAUAGAUAUCACGCAGAACUCCGAUUGCGAAGGCAGCAUACCGGCGCUCAACUGACGCUCAUGCACGAAAGUGUGGGUAUCGAACAGGAUUAGAUACCCCUGUAGUC
rnacentral:rRNA from 1 species